ACCAAGCUGACGAGUCCCAAAUAGGACGAAACACGCGUCCUAAAU
rnacentral:hammerhead_ribozyme from 1 species